rnacentral:rRNA from 1 species
UAGUCCACGCCGUAAACGAUGAUUACUCGCUGUAGGCGAUACACAGUCUGUGGCUAAGCGAAAGUUUUAAGUAAUCCACCUGGGGAGUACGAUCGCAAGAUUGAAACUCAAAGGAAUUGACGGGGGCCCGCACAAGCGGAGGAACAUGUGGUUUAAUUCGAUGAUACGCGAGGAACCUUACCUAGGCUCUAAUGUUAGCGCAAUCUGGUGAAAGCCGGAGUUCCUUCGGGACGCGAAACAAGGUGCUGCAUGGUUGUCGUCAGCUCGUGCCGUGAGGUGUUGGGUUAAGUCCCGCAACGAGCGCAACCCCUAUCUUUAGUUGCUACCAAGUAAUGUUGAGGACUCUAGAGAGACUGCCUGUGCAAGCAGUGAGGAAGGAGGGGAUGACGUCAAAUCAUCAUGGCCUUUAUGCCCAGGGCUACACACGUGCUACAAUGGUAUGGACAAAGGGUAGCGACACUGCGAAGUGAAGCCAAUCUCAAAAACCNUAAUCUCAGUUCGG